rnacentral:rRNA from 1 species
UACGUAGGCAGCAAGCGUUGUUCGGAGUUACUGGGCGUAAAGGGUGCGUAGGCGGCUCUAUAAGUAUGGUGUGAAAUCUCCCGGCUUAACUGGGAGGGUGCGCUAUAGACUGUGGGGCUAGAGGAUGGGAGAGGAAAGUGGAAUUCCUGGUGUAGCGGUGAAAUGCGUAGAUAUCAGGAGGAACACCGGUGGUGUAAACGGCUUUCUGGACCAUUUCUGACGCUGAGGCACGAAAGCGUGGGUAGCAAACAGG